UGUCACGUGGCCCUUUCUGGGCUCGUUUUAACUGGGGAGAAUGCAGUUCCUCCUUCCGUUCCUUUCGUGGGUGCGCGAGAGGCAGCCGGAGAGCGGUCAGCGGCCCACGAGGUAAUGAGGACAGAGUCAGCAGUUAGUAAUUGUUUCUGAUGGUAUUGCAUGUUUCCUGUCUGGACUCUGCUAUGCUACUCCUUUGUAACCAGCAAGAUGUCACGUGAACUGUUAAAGAAAUAAGGCUAUGAGCAUUGGCCUCAGAGAUUUUGUUGCUCUGUCCAUAAAUCCCUAUAUUGUGAGAUGGGCUUUCAAAUGCUGCUUACCUGAAGCCUGCCAGCUCUCACCUGAACUGCUGAGUGGGAAAUACCUUCGUUAUGUGAUUUGCUGAGCUCAGACACAUUCAGAAAUGCCAUUUUCCUGACUUUGUUCUGCUCUUUGCAGCCAGCAAGAUGUUGUUUGAAUUCUCUUAAGAACAAGAAUUUACAUCAACCAUGGUGUUAAAUAUAUGUUGUCUAAUGUGCAGUUAACUUGCAGCUACCAAGAAGUCAUACAGUUUUCAAGUAUCCACGUCCACAGAUUCUUCAUUGGAUCUUCAUGUCCCCUGCAAACUUAAGGAGGCGGAACCAGACCAGUCAGUCAUCAUGGACCUGGAGUUAAGCUCUGCACCAGAAGUGCCUAUUUCCUAUUCUCCUCUGCAUCCAGAUCCACAGAUCCCACAGUGUGAUUUUCACAGGAUGCAGCACAAUCAGGAAAAGUUACUUAGUCUAAACACUCAUAAAUAUUUACAAUUUUUUUAAUUUAAAAAAAUAUAUUUUUACUAAGACCUUACACAUGUACACCUUCCAGCUAAAUGUGGUUUAGAUUGAAGAUUGUUAGUCCAGUUUGUACGUCUGUCUAGUUUGCUUCCUUCUAGAUCUCAUCUCCACAGAAAUUCGUUGUGAUGGAAUUCACCCCUGUGUUCAAACCUCACACACUAUUGUAAUAAUCUUUGUACAAGGAAUGCCUUGUGAGGUCUCAUUAGAAAACUCGUAAUUUGAUGAUCAGUGAUAUCAUGGUAAAAUGUGUGUGGCAGCUUUAUGCAUUAAGUUAUAAAUUUCCUCUGUUUGAUGUUAAAAAUACAUGCGCAGACUCACAUAUCACCAAACUGGUCAAACAGACCUGUUUUGAACAAAGUGUAUGCUUGUCUUAAUUGGCAUUAACACAGUAAACAGAGUCAUCAACCAGAAAAGGGGAAAGGAGAAAACAAAGGGAGCUCACGCAGGUGAAAAAGCCCAGCAGGGAACAGCCUUCCUCCAGUAGACUGCCUGUCUCCUGGUUCUCAGCUGGAAAUGCUUUUCAAAGAGGGACUAAAACACUAUAAAAAGGCAGGGCAAACACCCCAAGACACCCCUCUCUUCCCCUGCCCACUGUAUUCUCUGCACCUUAGAAGGCAACGGCAACAACUGUUGGAUGUUAGGGGCAGUGCUCUGACCUGAAGAGUUUGGUCAGUAAUGAUGCUGAAAGCAUGUGUUGAGAAACUAUGCUUGAAUCUAAUAUAGUUUGUUAAAUUAGGCAUUAGAAAGUGUUUUAUCUUUAUUUUUCUUGUAAUAAUUUCUGAUUUUUAUGCCUCAUUACUGGUACUCACUUAAAAUAUAUCUCUUUGUAGUUGUUAAACUUGGU